rnacentral:rRNA from 1 species
UCGGGAAUCUUGCGCAAUGGGCGAAAGCCUGACGCAGCAACACCGUGUGGGCGACGAAGGCCUUCGGGUCGUAAAGCCCUGUUGUUGGGGACGAAGGGCGAAGGGUUAAUAGCCCCUAGCUUGACGGUACCCUUCGAGGAAGCCCCGGCUAACUACGUGCCAGCAGCCGCGGUAAUACGUAGGGGGCAAGCGUUGUCCGGAAUUAUUGGGCGUAAAGAGCGUGUAGGCGGUUCGGUAAGUCUGCCGUGAAAACCCGGGGCUCAACCCCGGGCGUGCGGUGGAAACUGCCGGGCUAGAGGGUGGUAGAGGCGAGCGGAAUUCCCGGUGUAGCGGUGAAAUGCGCAGAUAUCGGGAGGAACACCAGUAGCGAAGGCGGCUCGCUGGGCCAUUCCUGACGCUGAGACGCGAAAGCUAGGGGAGCAAACAG